AAAUUGAAGAGUUUGAUCAUGGCUCAGAUUGAACGCUGGCGGCAGGCCUAACACAUGCAAGUCGAACGGUAACAGGAAGCAGCUUGCUGCUUUGCUGACGAGUGGCGGAAGGGUGAGUAAUGUCUGGGAAACUGCCUGAUGGAGGGGGAUAACUACUGGAAACGGUGGCUAAUACCGCAUAACGUCGCAAGACCAAAGAGGGGGACCUUCGGGCCUCUUGCCAUCAGAUGUGCCCAGAUGGGAUUAGCUUGUUGGUGAGGUAACGGCUCACCAAGGCGACGAUCCCUAGCUGGUCUGAGAGGAUGACCAGCCACACUGGAACUGAGACACGG
rnacentral:rRNA from 3 species